GAUGAACGCUGGCGGCGUGCCUAAUACAUGCAAGUCGAGCGAACAGACGAGGAGCUUGCUCCUCUGACGUUAGCGGCGGACGGGUGAGUAACACGUGGAUAACCUACCUAUAAGACUGGGAUAACUUCGGGAAACCGGAGCUAAUACCGGAUAAUAUAUUGAACCGCAUGGUUCAAUAGUGAAAGACGGUUUUGCUGUCUCUUCUAGAUGGAUCCGCGCCGCAUUAGCUAGUUGGUAAGGUAACGGCUUACCAAGGCAACGAUGUGUAGCCGACCUGAGAGGGUGAUCGGCCACACUGGAACUGAGACACGGUCCAGACGACUACGGGAGGCAGCAGUAGGGAAUCGUCCGCAAUGGGCGAAAGCCUGACGGAGCAACGCCGCGUGAGUGAUGAAGGUCUUCGGAUCGUAAAACUCUGUUAUGAGGGAAGAACAAAUGUGUAAGUAACUAUGCACGUCUUGACGGUACCGAAUCAGAAAGCCACGGCUAACUACGUG
rnacentral:rRNA from 1 species